AUUGAACGCUGGCGGCAGGCUUAACACAUGCAAGUCGAGCGGGGAGAGGUGCUUCGGUACUGACCCUAGCGGCGGACGGGUGAGUAAUGCUUAGGAAUCUGCCAUUUAGUGGGGGACAACAUUCCGAAAGGAAUGCUAAUACCGCAUACGUCCUACGGGAGAAAGCAGGGGAUCUUCGGACCUUGCGCUAAAUGAUGAGCCUAAGUCGGAUUAGCUAGUUGGUGGGGUAAAGGCCUACCAAGGCGACGAUCUGUAGCGGGUCUGAGAGGAUGAUCCGCCCCACUGGGACUGAGCAACGGCCCAGACUCCUACGGGAGGCAGCAGUGGGGAAUAUUGGACAAUGGGCGGAAGCCUGAUCCAGCCGUGCCGCGUGUGUGAAGAAGGCCUUUUGGUUGUAAAGCACUUUAAGCGAGGAGGAGGCUACCUAGAUUAAUACUCUGGGAUAGUGGACGUUACUCGCAGAAUAAGCACCGGCUAACUCUGUGCCAGCCGCCGCCGUAACAC
rnacentral:rRNA from 1 species